ensembl:lncRNA
GGCACAUUUAUUGCUUACUUGACGUUGCUUCACAUUACAAGCCACAAGAGAGAGAUGCUUUCCUCAUGAACACCACAUCUCCCCUUUUCAGAGAACAAAUGGUAGACUGCCUUUGUCGCAACAGACCUCAAGGGAUUAUUCUGCCCUUGUGUUGAUCACAUCUUUUGGACUGGCUGGAGGAAUGACCACCAAGGAGACUGUGUGGAGAACACUAACACAACUCCUGACAAAUGCCAUGAACUGGAGAGGGGCCAAUGGGAAGGAGGCAUUCGAACCACUUGCCCUGGUGGCACUGUUUUUGUCACAAGGUGCCAACAUCAAUGCUCAGAUAGAGGAGACAGUAAUCAGUGAUGGUCUAACAUGUGUUGAGUCAUACUGCUUUUUUUAAUAACUUUGCAUGGGUGAGUUGGAUUAAUGGAUGGUCCAUUGUGUGUCUACAACGGUCUCCACUCUGACAGGAAAAGACAUGCACUGCUGUGAAGGAUCCUGCCUGACUCAAAUGCUUCAAAUGGCACAGUUACUGGCACAGGCUGUCUGUUUGACAGGCAUUUAUCAAAAGGAAACCACCAGAACACUAUCCCUAAAAACAGUGAAUAAAGUGAUUGUUUGAUUGAACCCGUUUUAUCAUAGACUAAUUACAUGUAGACUACAUAUUUUGUUACCCUUUCCUGAUUUAAAAAAGGAGGCUGCGAAUUUUUGCAGCUUUUUGUUAAAAAUCGCGCAAAAUUUCAAUGUCCUCCUACUCAUGCCAGGAAUAUAGUAUAUGCAUAUGAUUAGUAUGUGUGGAUAGGAAACACUCUGAAGUUUAUAAAACUGGUUGAAUCAUGUCUGUGACUAUAACAGAACGUGUUUAGCAGGCAAAAUCCCAAGGAAAACUGUUCAAAAAAAAAAAAAAAAAAAAAAAAUAUCCCUCCGCCAGUCUCUGUAUUGUCUAUGGCAAGGGAAAAUAGAUAGCGUCCAGUUUACAAUGCCUACAGCUUCCACACGAUGUCACCAGUACUGGCAUUUAGAUUGAAGUUAAUCCUUGGUGAAAUGAGGAAUAGGCACUUCCUGUCUUCGGGUACACCGGAGGAAGUUAUGAAAGACAGAAUGUGGACCAUGAUUUCAAAAUGUGCUGCUAUUGAAUACAGAUCGCCCCGUGAUCAAUUUGAUCGAUUAUUAACGUUUACUAAUACCUAAAGUUGGAUUACAAAAGUAGUUUGAAGUGUUUUGUCAAAGUUUAUAGGCAACUUUUUUAAUUUUAAAAAAUGACGUUGCGUUUUGGAACGGUGCUUUUUCAUGGAUCAGACGGGCUUCAUAAAUGGACAUUUAGGGUAUACAUGGACGGAUUUAAUCGAAAAAAAGACCCAAUUGUGAUGUUUAUGGGACAUAUAGGAGUGCCAACAAAGAAGCUCGUCAAAAGUAAUGAAUGUUUUAUAUUUUAUUUCUGCGUUUUGUGUAGCGCCGGCUACGCUAAUUAUUCUGUUUACGUCCCCUUUGGGUAUUUAUUUAAUUGAGUACCCUGCAUGUGUGUUUUAAUGAAAGUUUGAGUUGUAUCGAGUACUAUUAGUUGUCACUCUGAAAUUUCCUCUGAUUUCCGCUGAUGUUGAUCCCUGUAUAGGGCUGCAGCCCUAAGAGGUUCAUAAAUCCUGACUGCUAGCUCUAGUUUAGACUUGUCUGGCACAAACACUUGUAGCUGAAUGCAUUGCUAAUACCGCCAUUCCCAUCCUGUUUCAUUUUAUGUAUCUCAUUAAUAAUUUACAUAAACGUCUGUGUGUGCUGCAUUGUGGUAUUUUUUUCCUGUGUUGACAGUUGUAAUGGUCAAAAUAAUAAGCAUUAGAAAUGUAUUUAUACAUUUUCUUUCUUUGAUUUUGUUCUAGGUGCCAGUUCCCACAUCAUAAGUUGUGUACUCUGCAGUUUGUACCCUUUAUAUAAUAUUACUUGUUGAUGAAAAGGAAAUUAUAGGAUGUAAAACAAGGAUCAUCAACUAGCUGCGCGACUAUUUUUUAUUGAAUGGAUGGUCAGAACAUAAUAAAAAUAUUUUUAGAAUGCAUAUUGCCCGCAAGAAGCCAAAACAGAUAUAUUUGACUAAAACAUAACAUUUUCAAACCUUGAUUACAUUGCCCUGUGAAGGGUGCUGUCUUUCGGAUGGGACGUUAAAACGAGUGUCCUGACUCUGUGGAGAUGGUUGUCCUUCUGGAAGGUUCUCCCAUCUUGGCAGCACUCCACCAAUAAGGCCUUUGUGAUAGAGUGGCCAGACAGAAGCCAC